GCAAUCAGACGCGAGUUGAUGGUGUGCGUACACCGCCACUGCACACAUAAAGUUUGAUGCGCAGGCGCGGGAAUUCAAACAGCAAGGGUACGGUAGGCAUCGCUUCCAAACGAGAAAACGUUGUGAAUUAACUUCAAAAUAUAAGUUUUUAGUAGGGAAACAGACAGAAAACAAAUCGUAUAUGAAUUGAGAUAUUAAAAAACCAAUUUUAAUGCAAAUCAGAAAAAAAAACACUCAAGAAGAUUAUCCGGCAAUGAAAAAUGGACGGAAAAGCAGGUUUUCCU
ensembl:ncRNA F54C9.17 ncRNA